GCUCUGUGAUGAACCCCAUGCGUGUCAUCUGAGCCUGACUUUCCCUGUUGUCUCAGCCCCGGUAGUGUUCUACUUCCCAGGGCUACUGCCUUGCCUGGCAGGGAGGUCCUGGGCAAAGGAUCAAUCUUUGUAUUCUGAGAGC